rnacentral:lncRNA from 1 species
AACUGACUGUGGUUACUGGAAGACCACGGGGAAGGAUAGAUCUGUUCUUUACAAUAGUGAAGUUGUUGGGUGGAUAAAAACAUUAAUUUUUCACGGUGGUCGAGCUCCACGAGGAGAGCGCACAAACUGGGUUUUACAUGAGUAUAGGCUUGAAGAUAAGAACCUGGCUGAGAAGGGUGUCGCUCAGGUAAAUGAUACUAUCUGUUUACAUUAUUUUGUGUUUUUAUUAUGUUAUUUUUUUCUUUCUCAAUGGUCACUGUAAUUAGAACAAUGAUCUUGUGCAUUUGCUUAUUAAAUUGGUUACCUUUGCCUUUUUCAUGUUACAGGAUUCUCAUGUGCUCUGUUUAAUUUUCCAAAAGGAUGGGAUAGGACCAAAAAGUUCUAAACAAUAUGGUGCACCUUUCAAAGAAGAAGACUGGACUGAUGAUGAGGUUGAAACAGACAUUUCACAUGUAAACAUUUCUGAGACCAACCUUGUUCAUACAAACAUGCUUGAGCCAGAGCCAAAUCUUACUCAUUCAUAUACCCCUGAGCCAGAC